GAUGAACGCUGGCGGCGUGCCUAAUACAUGCAAGUCGAGCGAACAGAUGAGGAGCUUGCUCCUCUGACGUUAGCGGCGGACGGGUGAGUAACACGUGGAUAACCUACCUAUAAGACUGGGAUAACUUCGGGAAACCGGAGCUAAUACCGGAUAAUAUAUUGAACCGCACGGUUCAAUAGUGAAAGACGGUUUUGCUGUCACUUAUAGAUGGAUCCGCGCCGCAUUAGCUAGUUGGUAAGGUAACGGCUUACCAAGGCAACGAUGCGUAGCCGACCUGAGAGGGUGAUCGGCCACACUGGAACUGAGGCACGGUCCAGACUCCUACGGGAGGCAGCAGUAGGGAAUCUUCCGCAAUGGGCGAAAGCCUGACGGAGCAACGCCGCGUGAGUGAUGAAGGUCUUCGGAUCGUAAAACUCUGUUAUUAGGGAAGAACAAAUGUGUAAGUAACUAUGCACGUCUUGACGGUACCUAAUCAGAAAGCCACGGCUAACUACGUG
rnacentral:rRNA from 1 species